AAAGAUACUCCCCUCUCUUUAAUCUUCAAGUUUUGUGUUGGGAGUUUGUCUUAAUUCGAAAGUUUUGGGGUGGCGCGUGGGGCCCACUCGCUGCCGUCGGUGGUGAAGCGUGGCGGCGCGUCCGGCAGGGGUUUGGGAGGUCUGUAGUCCUUGUUAGGUGGUGCUCAUCAAUACGAGCACGUUAGCAUGUAGAUUGUAGGUUUUAGAGUUGUUUGAGCAUGUUAGGGUUUGGUGAAGUUCUUCUAGGGCGUGUGGGGCCCACUCGCCGCCGCUUGUGGUGGCGUGUGGCGGCACGCCCGGUAGUGUCUGUGGUGUUUGUGGUGCUGGUUAGGUAGUGCUCAUCGAUACGUUUGUGUUGAUUUGUGGUUUUUAGAUUUUGGUUGUCAAUAAUUGCAUGCUUGGACUUUUUGGUUAAUCUUAGAUUUGUGGAAGGUUUUUAAGUGUCCGACGACCUUGGGAGGUCUCGGAAGAAGGUUGCCCCCUUUUUGGCAAUCUUGGGUUAAACCUUGUUUAAGGGUGCAAUGUUAUGUUGUUUAAAUAAUUAUUAAGGAUGACUUUGUGUUAUCUAGGUGAUUGGCGAUUUUGGUGUUUUGCUUGUUCUUGUGGAGUUUAGUUUUGAGCUAGACGCUUGUGUUUGUGUGAAGACGCAGCGGGAGUAAAGGUGAGUAAAUCUCACCAAGGUUCACAUUUGGACCAAAUUAUAAUAUUAUGGGUGAUUGAUAGAUUUAUUUCUUGUGGAAAUAUUUAUAUUUAUGUGGAAGGUUAUAAUUUUUAUGAUGUGCUCAUUGUGUUGUUGAUGAUGAUUUAAAUGUUAUGCUUUUUAGAUAUUUGUGAUGUUGAUGAUGAUGAUGAUUUUUAUGAGGAUGAUUGUGAUGAUGAUGAUGUUGUUGAUGAUGAUGUUGAAUUAAAGAAUUGGUUAUUGUUUGUUUUAAAAAUAUAUGAGCUUGAUCGCCAACGGCUCAUAGGUAAGUUAAAACAAGUUAGAUAGUCAAACCGGUUUCCAAGCCUUUAAUCGGGUGAUUGGUUGCGGUUAUGAUGAUUCUACUCUUUUGUGAAUUGUUGUGUAGAUAGUCAAACUGGGUUCCAAGCCUUUAAUCGGGUGAUUGGUUACGGUUAUGACGCUAUUAUUAUUUUGUGAUGUGAUAUUGGACAGUCAAACCGGGUUCCAAGCCUUUGGCCGGGUGAUUGGUUACGGUUA
rnacentral:lncRNA from 1 species